rnacentral:rRNA from 1 species
CGUGGGGGAUAACACUUCGAAAGAAGUGCUAAUACCGCAUACGAUCUGAGGAUGAAAGCGGGGGACCGUAAGGCCUCGCGCGAUCGGAGCGGCCGAUGUCAGAUUAGGUAGUUGGUGGGGUAAAGGCUCACCAAGCCAACGAUCUGUAGCUGGUCUGAGAGGACGACCAGCCACACUGGGACUGAGACACGGCCCAGACUCCUACGGGAGGCAGCAGUGGGGAAUUUUGGACAAUGGGCGCAAGCCUGAUCCAGCAAUGCCGCGUGCAGGAAGAAGGCCUUCGGGUUGUAAACUGCUUUUGUACGGAACGAAACGGUCCGGGUUAAUACCCUGGGCUAAUGACGGUACCGUAAGAAUAAGCACCGGCUAACUACGUGCCAGCAGCCGCGGUAAUACGUAGGGUGCAAGCGUUAAUCGGAAUUACUGGGCGUAAAGCGUGCGCAGGCGGUUUUGUAAGACAGGCGUGAAAUCCCCGGGCUCAACCUGGGAAUUGCGCUUGUGACUGCAAGGCUGGAGUGCGGCAGAGGGGGAUGGAAUUCCGCGUGUAGCAGUGAAAUGCGUAGAUAUGCGGAGGAACACCGAUGGCGAAG